UCUUUCUUUUUGAUAAUUUUGCGAUUGAUGGGGUCAUUUAAGUUUAUGUUAAGGGCCCAUAGCUCAGGCGGUUAGAGUGCACCCCUGAUAAGGGUGAGGUCGGUAGUUCGAAUCUACCUGGGCCCACCAUUCAGUCAGGUAAGGGGCCGUAGCUCAGCUGGGAGAGCGCCUGCUUUGCAAGCAGGAUGUCAGCGGUUCGAUCCCGCUCGGCUCCACCAAUUGCGAAUUUAUAGUUUUUUUGUUCUAGGGAUUUUUUUUAGAGCAAUAGUUUUUUGAAAAUUGAAUAGAAGGUAGAUUUUUUUGUAUUUUUUAUAUUGGCAUUGUAU
rnacentral:tRNA from 1 species